AGAGUUUGAUCCUGGCUCAGGACGAACGCUGGCGGCGUGCCUAAUACAUGCAAGUCGAGCGGACGAAUCGAAAGCUUGCUUUUGAUUCGUUAGCGGCGGACGGGUGAGUAACACGUGGGCAACCUGCCCUGUAGACGGGGAUAACACCGAGAAAUCGGUGCUAAUACCGGAUAACACGAAAUGUCGCAUGACGUUUCGUUGAAAGACGGCGCAAGCUGUCGCUACAGGAUGGGCCCGCGGCGCAUUAGCUAGUUGGUGAGGUAACGGCUCACCAAGGCGAUGAUGCGUAGCCGACCUGAGAGGGUGAUCGGCCACACUGGGACUGAGACACGGCCCAGACUCCUACGGGAGGCAGCAGUAGGGAAUCUUCCGCAAUGGACGAAAGUCUGACGGAGCAACGCCGCGUGAGCGAAGAAGGCCUUCGGGUCGUAAAGCUCUGUUGUUAGGGAAGAACAAGUAACGCAGUAACUGGCGUUAUCGUGACGGUACCUAACGAGAAAGCCACGGCUAACUACGUGCCAGCAGCCGCGGUAAUACGUAGGUGGCAAGCGUUGUCCGGAAUUAUUGGGCGUAAAGCGCGCGCAGGCGGUUCCUUAAGUCUGAUGUGAAAGCCCACGGCUCAACCGUGGAGGGUCAUUGGAAACUGGGGGACUUGAGUGCAGAAGAGGAGAGCGGAAUUCCACGUGUAGCGGUGAAAUGCGUAGAGAUGUGGAGGAACACCAGUGGCGAAGGGCGGCUCUCUGGUCUGUAACUGACGCUGAGGCGCGAAAGCGUGGGGAGCAAACAGGAUUAGAUACCCU
rnacentral:rRNA from 1 species